GUCGGUGGGUCUGCUACUUUGUGAGAGAACAUUCAUUCUUCUUUUGUAAAGUUGCCAUCUUUGAAGGAAUGAAGUCACAGGAAGAAAUUGGAUACCAUCGUCUGCACUGGACUGGAUAUUUAUGGUUCUGGCAGGAGAGAGGAAUCUUUGAAGAUGCUGGAAACGUCUUCAGAAGAGCGGAGUGCCAAGCUGCUGCUCCCAGGGCUACCGUGGGACCAGGAGUGUCCAGGGAUAAAGCCUGAUUGUUGGGAAGAUAAAGACCGCUAAGAGAGUGGACGGAGAGGGGAGGGACCAUAGGACCGUGCCACCAAAGGCUGCCACACACCAACGAAAAGCACAAAGACGUGUACGGCUGUCCAGCUCUGCGGCCCACACGGUGCUUUGGACCACAAUGCUUGCCGCGUUCCACUCAAACGUCUUAUCAGCACUUCAGAGAAGAUGCAGUGUAUCAAAAUUUAAGUGAAGACAUAUGGUAUACAUGGGAAUUAUCUCAGCCGAAUGACUGUAGCGUAUACAGCAAGAGCAUCUGUAUCUUAAUAGUCUAUGAGCAGUGGUGAAGGGAGAAUGUGAAAGCUCUGAGGGAUUUGGGAGAAAGGAUAUGAUUGCAUUUAUGUCCCAUCAAGCAGCUUGCUGGAUGCAGGGGAAUGCCUAAUAUAUAUCUGUAUUUGGUCGCCAGCUUACAUCUGUCUGCUUAUGGAUUUAUGACUUCAAAACUAUUUGGAAAAAAAAAAAAAAGGCGCCUCUCGACAGAGCCAGUGACUAAUAACUAAAGCUGACAGGGAUGGCAGGCAAACACACACACACGCAUACACACACACGGAUAGACGUAACGACAAGACUCGGCGACAAGGAACAAAGGAGUCGAAAUCUGACACAUUCUCUCUGACAGUAGGAUAAAACUCACUCACCCCUCGAGCCAUGCUAACACACACCACACACACACACACACACACACGCACGCACACAGUUUACUUCUUCGUCUGUCACGCGGAGUUUUUCUCACAAACACGCACAUCAUGUUUUCACACAUAAAAACAGUCGUGUCUGCAUACUAAACCUUUCAAAUCUUCGCAUAAAGUGUGUUCAUUCUCAUUUUAUUUAAUCUUUCAUGUGCGAGGAGGCUCGGAUACACGGUUAAAAGCUGAAAACAUUUAUGUAAAUGGCUGCUGGAUCCAGAGACUGUGAGGGGUUUUUGAGAGCAAAGUCUGCUCUGAUUCACACUGUCCAUAAAAAAGUAACUGUUGUUAUAAUCUGCGACACAGUGUCAUACCUGCAGUUGGAUUCUUACAGCUGUUUCCAAGCUGGAUGACAUGCGUCUUUAUUGCACUACAGUUUUCAAUUAUCCUAACUUAUCUCGUUUUUCCUUGUUCCUACAGUUGAAUGCUUUACAUCAAGUCUGAAAAAAUUAAUUGUUUUCACUGUACUCACUGAAAAUCUGAUUAUAAGAGGUGGACCCUAUGAGGGUGGUUAUUGACCCGACAGUCAGCAUACCCAAGCGUGAUGUGGAAACUUGAAGUCUCCAGUGCACAAUAACUGAGAAUGGACUUGAGUAAAGUAGGAGACACCUUGUGUCCAGCUGUUAAACAUAAAGUCUGGAAUUUUUAAUAAGGGAGAAAGAAUAGGUGCCAUUUUAAAGAUUUUAAUGUUGGAAAUUAUACAUUUUCUUUCUACUUAAACGAUAUCAGACACACAUUGAAGGAGCAGAUUUGAUGCUGUAUUCAGAUUUGAUAAAAUGCUAAUGAACUCUCAACCCAUUCAUACAAAAGGACAUGGAGUACUCUGGACAGUAAAGAUUGUCCAAGGCGAGACUGAAGCAUAAAGGGCAGUCCUGCCACAUGGCAAGUUGGCAAGCAGCAUCAAUUAAAAUUUUGCCACUUGGGGGCAACGAAACAAGCUGUUAACACAACACUGACAUAUUACCACCAUAUUAAUUCAACAUCUAGCAGACAGGGAGAAAUGUAAGCAUUCAUUUGGAUUCUGAGCUGUGAGUCCAAUACUCACCCUCAUUUUAGCUCCGUUUUGCUCUCCACCAACUCACAAGGGACUUAUCUAGUUCUUAAGCUAUGAAAUGCCUCAAUCGCUUCUCGCUAACUCUAUCUGUCUGCGAUUUGAUGAGGGGCAGGUGCUGUACAGCAGGUUCUUCAGAGUUUUCUUCUUGAAAGGAGCUGCGUACAUGUGUUCGGAAACAGGGCUGAUGAAAACGUUAAGAACCAGAACAGUAAAACUGCAGAUCACAUAACCAAAACAGAGCUGAAAGAGGCUUAAAAAGGCUAUUUAAAAAGGCUCACAUGGUAAUUCCCCGUACAUUAAA